ACAGUGAAGAUAUAAAUACUUAAAGAAGACAAAACACUCAGAUGCUUAUAUAUGAUUAUAAAAGUCGGUUCGACUAAAAUUGGUUCGAUAAGUACUAGUGUCGACACCAGUGGUAUUGUGACAACACAAACCAUAUUUUGCGGUCACGAAUAUUCCUAUUAUUCAUACAAGUUCAAAUUAUUCCAUUAAAUCAAAGUCUCAUUUUCCUAUUCGUUUCAUCUUUUUUCGUUCGAGACAGUCAC
rnacentral:lncRNA from 1 species